rnacentral:rRNA from 1 species
AGUCGAGCGGUAGCACAGAGAGCUUGCUCUCGGGUGACGAGCGGCGGACGGGUGAGUAAUGUCUGGGAAACUGCCUGAUGGAGGGGGAUAACUACUGGAAACGGUAGCUAAUACCGCAUAACGUCGCAAGACCAAAGUGGGGGACCUUCGGGCCUCAUGCCAUCAGAUGUGCCCAGAUGGGAUUAGCUAGUAGGUGGGGUAACGGCUCACCUAGGCGACGAUCCCUAGCUGGUCUGAGAGGAUGACCAGCCACACUGGAACUGAGACACGGUCCAGACUCCUACGGGAGGCAGCAGUGGGGAAUAUUGCACAAUGGGCGCAAGCCUGAUGCAGCCAUGCCGCGUGUGUGAAGAAGGCCUUCGGGUUGUAAAGCACUUUCAGCGGGGAGGAAGGCGAUAAGGUUAAUAACCUUGUCGAUUGACGUUACCCGCAGAAGAAGCACCGGCUAACUCCGUGCCAGCAGCCGCGGUAAUACGGAGGGUGCAAGCGUUAAUCGGAAUUACUGGGCGUAAAGCGCACGCAAGCGGUCUGUCAAGUCGGAUGUGAAAUCCCCGGGCUCAACCUGGGAACUGCAUUCGAAACUGGCACGCUAGAAUCUUGUAGAGGGGGGUACAAAUCCA